AGCAGAACAGAGAAACACGUGAAAGGUGAAGAAGAGGAGAAAAGGUGGAGAAAACCUAGAAUUUGAUCUUCAAGAAGAAAAGAGUCUAGGAGGCUUUGUACCGGUGUCAUAGAAGGUACUGGAGGUAGAGAUGUGGCUCAUGAGGAGUAGCUUCGGAGAGUCUUAGCUUAUGUUAUUAUUAUUAAUAUUAUUAUAAAAUAAGUGUCUUGCUCUGUAAUGUAACACUGGGUAGAUAUUUUACGUUACUUUUACACUUCUGUUGAGGGGAUUUUAUAACCUCUCCUUAGGGAAGUUGUUGAAUAAUUUUCUAAAUUAUGGCGAUGUCGUACUGUUGAUGGCCGAAGUGCCUAUGAAAUUCAGCUUUGAGUA